AUGCCUCCUCUGGUGCUCGUGAGGCCCUGGCUAGGCAGCUGCCCUCUGCCCCCAAAAUGAACUCUCCUGAAAGGACUCCUGGAUUCCUGAGUAUGAAGAAACUGAGAUGCCCACGAUGUACCUCACUGAUGACUGUGACUGGCUCCUGGCCCACUCUGGACCUCAGCUGACUCAGCUGCAAAGCAAGGGAUUGGAGUCCAGGAUGGCUGCCUGCCGAAGAAUGCCUCCCGGUAGAUUGGGGAAGGAUGGAUAUGAGAAGCCACCCAGCUAAAGGAGACAGCCUA
rnacentral:lncRNA from 10 species